GCAGUGCUGGGUUUAGCUGGUGGGACCCGGGGACACGGCUAACGCUUCCCAGAAAGGCGACCCUUGGGCAUGUGGGGGGUGUGGUGUGUGUGUGUGUGUGUGGUGUGUGAGGUCUGUGUGUGGUGUCAAUGUGAGGUCUGUGUCUGGUGUGUGUGUGAGGUCUGUGUGUGUGAAUGUGGGGUCUGUGUGUGUGGGGUAUAUGUGUGUGAUGUGUGUGUGUAGUGUGUGAGGUCUGUGUAUGGUGUGUGUGAGGUCUGUGUGUGGUGUCAAUGUGAGGUCUGUGUCUGGUGUGUGUGUGAGGUCUGUGUGUGUGAAUGUGGGGUCUGUGUGUGUGUGGUAUAUGUGUGUGAUGUGUGUGUGUAGUGUGUGAGGUCUGUGUAUGGUGUGUGUGAGGUCUGUGUGUGUGUGGUGUGUGAGGUCUGUGUGUGGUGUCAAUGUGAGGUCUGUGUCUGGUGUGUGUGUGAGGUCUGUGUGUGUGAAUGUGGGGUCUGUGUGUGUGUGGUAUAUGUGUGUGAUGUGUGUGUGUAGUGUGUGAGGUCUGUGUAUGGUGUGUGUGAGGUCUGUGUGUGUGUGGUGUGUGAGGUCUGUGUGCAGUGUGUGUGUGAGGUCUGUGUGUGUGUGUAUUGUGUGAGGUCUGUGUGUGUGUGGUGUGUGUAAGGUUUGUGUGUAUGUGAUGUGUGAGGUCUGUGUGUGUGUGGUGUGUGUGAGGUCUGUGUGUGUGGUGUGUGCAGUGUGAGUGUAUGUCUGUGUGGUGGCAUCUGUGUGUGUGUGGUGUGUGGGGUCUGUGUGUGUGUGAGGUCUGUGUGUGGUGUGUGUGUUAGGUCUGUGUGUGUGGUGUGUGAGGUCUAUGUGUGUGUGUGGUGUGUGUGAGGUCUGUGUGUGGUGUUUGUGUGAGGUCUGUGUGUGUGUGGUGUGUGAGGUCUGUAUGUGUGUGUGUGGUGUGUCUGAGGUCUGUGUGUGGUGUGUGUGUGAGGUCUGUGUGUGUGUGGUGUGUGCAGUGUGAGUGUAUGUCUGUGCGGUGGCAUCUGUGUGUGUGGUGUGUGAGGUCUGUGUGUAGUGUCAAUGUGAGGUCUGUGUGUGGUGUCUGUGUGAGGUCUGUGUGUGUGGUGUGUGAGGUCUGUGUGUGUGAGGUCUGUGUGUGAGGUCUCUGUGUGUGUGGUCUGUGUGAGGUCUGUGUGUGUGGUAUGUGUGAGGUCUGUGGGUGGUGUGAGGUCUGUGUGUGUGGUGUGUGUGAGGUCUGUGUGUGGUGUGUGAGGUCUGUGUGUGUGAGAUCUGUAUGUGUGA
rnacentral:lncRNA from 1 species